rnacentral:rRNA from 1 species
AUACGGAGGGAGCGAGCGUUAAUCGGAAUUACUGGGCGUAAAGCGCGCGUAGGCGGCUUUGUAAGUCGGAUGUGAAAGCCCCGGGCUCAACCUGGGAACUGCAUUCGAUACUGGCAGGCUAGAGUAUAGUAGAGGCAAGUGGAAUUCCGGGUGUAGCGGUGAAAUGCGUAGAUAUCCGGAGGAACAUCAGUGGCGAAGGCGACUUGCUGGACUAAUACUGACGCUGAGGAGCGAAAGCGUGGGGAGCAAACGGGAUUAGAAACCCCUGUAGUCC